rnacentral:rRNA from 1 species
GAUCGUAAGGACAUGUGGAGCGCUUAGAAGUGAGAAUGCCGGUGUGAGUAGCGAAAGACGGGUGAGAAUCCCGUCCACCGAUUGACUAAGGUUUCCAGAGGAAGGCUCGUCCGCUCUGGGUUAGUCGGGCCCUAAGCUGAGGCCGACAGGCGUAGGCGAUGGAUAACAGGUUGAUAUUCCUGUACCACCUAUAAUCGUUUUAAUCGAUGGGGGGACGCAGUAGGAUAGGCGAAGCGUGCGAUUGGAUUGCACGUCUAAGCAGUAAGGCUGAGUAUUAGGCAAAUCCGGUACUCGUUAAGGCUGAGCUGUGAUGGGGAGAAGACAUUGUGUCUUCGAGUCGUUGAUUUCACACUGCCGAGAAAAGCCUCUAGAUAGAAAAUAGGUGCCCGUACCGCAAACCGACACAGGUAGUCAAGAUGAGAAUUCUAAGGUGAGCGAGCGAACUCUCGUUAAGGAACUCGGCAAAAUGACCCCGUAACUUCGGGAGAAGGGGUGCUCUUUAGGGUUAACGCCCAGAAGAGCCGCAGUGAAUAGGCCCAAGCGACUGUUUAUCAAAAACACAGGUCUCUGCUAAACCGUAAGGUGAUGUAUAGGGGCUGACGCCUGCCCGGUGCUGGAAGGUUAAGAGGAGUGGUUAGCUUCUGCGAAGCUACGAAUCGAAGCCCCAGUAAACGGCGGCCGUAACUAUAACGGUCCUAAGGGAGCGAAAUUCCUUGUCGGGGAAGUUCCGACCCGCACGAAAGGCGUAACGAUUUGGGCACUGUCUCAACGAGAGACUCGGUGAAAUCAUAGUACCUGUGAAGAUGCAGGUUACCCGCGACAGGACGGAAAGACCCCGUGGAGCUUUACUGUAGCCUGAUAUUGAAAUUCGGCACAGCUUGUACAGGAUAGGUAGGAGCCUUUGAAACGUGAGCGCUAGCUUACGUGGAGGCGCUGGUGGGAUACUACCCUAGCUGUGUUGGCUUUCUAACCCGCACCACUUAUCGUGGUGGGAGACAGUGUCAGGCGGGCAGUUUGACUGGGGCGGUCGCCUCCUAAAAGGUAACGGAGGCGCUCAAAGGUUCCCUCAGAAUGGUUGGAAAUCAUUCAUAGAGUGUAAAGGCAUAAGGGAGCUUGACUGCGAGACCUACAAGUCGAGCAGGGUCGAAAGACGGACUUAGUGAUCCGGUGGUUCCGCAUGGAAGGGCCAUCGCUCAACGGAUAAAAGCUACCCCGGGGAUAACAGGCUUAUCUCCCCCAAGAGUUCACAUCGACGGGGAGGUUUGGCACCUCGAUGUCGGCUCAUCGCAUCCUGGGGCUGUAGUCGGUCCCAAGGGUUGGGCUGUUCGCCCAUUAAAGCGGUACGCGAGCUGGGUUCAGAACGUCGUGAGACAGUUCGGUCCCUAUCCGUCGUGGGCGUAGGAAAUUUGAGAGGAGCUGUCCUUAGUACGAGAGGACCGGGAUGGACAUACCUCUGGUGUACCAGUUGUCGUGCCAACGGCAUAGCUGGGUAGCUAUGUGUGGACGGGAUAAGUGCUGAAAGCAUCUAAGCAUGAAGCCCCCCUCAAGAUGAGAUUUCCCAACUUCGGUUAUAAGAUCCCUCAAAGAUGAUGAGGUUAAUAGGUUCGAGGUGGAAGCAUGGUGACAUGUGGAGCUGACGAAUACUAAUCGAUCGAAGACUUAAUCAA